rnacentral:rRNA from 1 species
AACGAACGCUGGCGGCAGGCCUAACACAUGCAAGUCGAACGCACCGCAAGGUGAGUGGCGCACGGGUGAGUAACACGUGGGAAUGUACCCUUUGGUUCGGAAUAACGUUUGGAAACGAACGCUAAUACCGGAUGAGCCCUGUGGGGGAAAGAUUUAUCGCCAAAGGAGCAGCCCGCGUCUGAUUAGCUAGUUGGUGGGGUAAAGGCCUACCAAGGCGACGAUCAGUAGCUGGUCUGAGAGGAUGAUCAGCCACACUGGGACUGAGACACGGCCCAGACUCCUACGGGAGGCAGCAGUGGGGAAUAUUGGACAAUGGGCGGAAGCCUGAUCCAGCCAUGCCGCGUGAGUGAUGAAGGCCUCGGGUUGUAAAGCUCUUUCGCACGCGACGAUGAUGACGGUAGCGUGAGAAGAAGCCCGGCUAACUUCGUGCCAGCAGCCGCGGUAAU